rnacentral:tRNA from 1 species
CGUAAAAGAAAAAAAAAAUGUUUGGUCCACAACGCGAUUAUCUAAAAGCAAAACAGCAAGGCGUGUUCGUGCG